CCACUUCACACUCCUAACCUUUACCAUUCGGUUCAUACGUUCACCACGGAUCGGUUUCGUCUUUCACUGCUCAGUUCAGUUGUUCACUGCUCGGUUUAGUCAUUCACCACUCAGAUUCGCCUUCCACUGCUCGAAUCAGUUGUUCACUGUUCGGUUCCGCCUUCCAUCGCUGAGCCACCUGAUCUCAAUCAUAACUACCACCACUCUAAUGCUCAACUACUUAUUGUUACCCAUUAUUCUCUCCCCCCUCUAUAUAUAUUUGUGUGUGUGUGUGUCAUUGUCCGGGUACUUCUAUGAAGAGGUUGUACUUAAGGUAGCUUAGCACUAUAAACUGUUUGAUCUCAUUGUCCUAUGUCCAGCUGUCCACAUGCGUAGAUCCCAGGCAUAUGGUACACAAAAAUGUUUC
rnacentral:lncRNA from 1 species